UGCCGAGGGUUUGACUGUUCGUCAAAUAAAAUGGUACGUGAGCUGGGUUCAGAACGUCGUGAGACAGUUUGGUCCCUAUCUACUGUACGAAAUAAAAAAGAAAACUAUAAUGAUCUCAGUACGAGAGGACCGGAGACGAUAGGCCAAGUGUAAACAAUUAUAGUAUAAGUGUAAGUUGUAAAGCUCCGCCUAACUAAAGAACCAUAAUAAAUGGGAAUAGAGUAGUUUUUUUUUUUAAUAAACAGAAAAAAGAAUCUUUUGUUUAAAUUAAUAUCUUAUAAAACUAGUAAUAGUUUAAUAGAGAUAUCAUAAAAAAUUGUUUAAUUUAGCUGAU
rnacentral:rRNA from 1 species